GUGAGGAAUAUUGGUCAAUGGGCGCAAGCCUGAACCAGCCAUCCCGCGUGAAGGACGACGGCCCUAUGGGUUGUAAACUUCUUUUGUACGGGAAGCACGUGCGCUAUGUAUAGCGUAUUGACGGUACCGUACGAAUAAGCAUCGGCUAACUCCGUGCCAGCAGCCGCGGUAAUACGGAGGAUGCGAGCGUUAUCCGGAUUCAUUGGGUUUAAAGGGUGCGUAGGCGGCCCGGUAAGUCAGCGGUGAAAGUUUGCGGCUCAACCGUAAAAUUGCCGUUGAUACUGUCGGGCUUGAGUUCAGAUGAAGUGGGCGGAAUGAGUAGUGUAGCGGUGAAAUGCUUAGAUAUUACUCAGAACACCGAUUGCGAAGGCAGCCCACUAAACUGCGACUGACGCUGAUGCACGAAAGCGUGGGGAUCGAACAGGAUUAGAAACCCGUGUAGUCC
rnacentral:rRNA from 1 species